UACAGAGGGGGCAAGCGUUGUUCGGAAUUACUGGGCGUAAAGGGCGCGUAGGCGGCCUUCUAAGUCGAACGUGAAAUCCCCGGGCUCAACCCGGGAACUGCGUCCGAUACUGGAAGGCUUGAAUCCGGGAGAGGGAUGCGGAAUUCCAGGUGUAGCGGUGAAAUGCGUAGAUAUCAUUUGGAACGCCAAUGGUGAAAACAGGUAGCUGGGGAUGUGCUGACGCUGAGACACGAAAGCCAGGGGAGCAAACGGG
rnacentral:rRNA from 1 species